rnacentral:rRNA from 1 species
UACGGAGGGUGCAAGCGUUAAUCGGAAUUACUGGGCGUAAAGCGCGCGUAGGCGGCUAUUUAAGUCGGAUGUGAAAGCCCUGGGCUCAACCUGGGAACUGCAUUCGAUACUGGGUAGCUAGAGUAUAGGAGAGGAGUGUGGAAUUUCAGGUGUAGCGGUGAAAUGCGUAGAGAUCUGAAGGAACACCAGUGGCGAAGGCGACACUCUGGCCUAAUACUGACGCUGAGGUGCGAAAGUGUGGGGAGCAAACAGG